GAAGCCUUUUCCUUGGGGCCAUCUCAUCUCUCCUCUUUUGACUUUCUGUUUGUUGUUUGUUUUGGGCGGAGCGGAGCUGAACACAGAAAAUAAGUCGGUAUGAUCGCCCCCAAAAAAGAAAUGCUGCAUCUGACGCCAGCCUCUAACCUCACAGUAUUUUAAAAUUUCAAAACACAAGCAGCAGAGGCUUGGUCUGGCCCAACUCCCAAGCCGUUUGGGAAAUAGAGCACAAGGUUUCGGUAAUGCUUCCGGCCAGGGUAUUAUUAGCAAGGCCAUCUCCAGGCAGGUAUUGAUCACAGAGGAGCUGUUACCAGGAUGACACUGAUGCUGUGAGUUUCAGGACUUGGCUCAGCUGGCUCAUCCCGGGGCCACCUCCAGAUGAGGAGCUGGAAUGGAGACAUGUUAUAUCUUCAUGAAAGACACACGGCACGAUGGGACCACUGCCAGGACCCAGGCCCAGCGUGCAAGCUACUCCAUUCAUUUCUUCUUUCGGGAAACUUAUCAGUAAGCAUCGACUGUCUUGAGGCCCUAAGGAGGCAAAAAUAAAUAAAACAUGGCUCCUUCUCUAGAGGCGUGAACAAGGUAAUGGAUAGACAAGUAAAUACAUAAUUUCAGCACUACGCAAAAGGCAAAGCAAGCAGGCGAGCGCAAAGUGCCGAGGAAACAUUUCCACGGCUGCGUCUGCCUGUGGGUUGGAGAGGGACUCAGAGAGGACAACUGCGGAGGCUUAGGUUGGAAAAGGAGGAAGGCCUCUGCCUGCAGACGGAUGCAGCCUUGCAGACAAGGCAGGAGACAUGAAAAAGUGGGGUGUGUUUCCAGACCAGGCAGUUUUAGAGUCCAGGCCCCUGGAUGGAAAAAGUAAGCAGAAAGCAAGACUAGGGUCACAAGGUGGAUGGCUUUAGUGGCCUUCUAACUAUUGAGGGUCUAAUACCUGCCCCAACACAGGCUGGAAUACUUUUUUGUAUGUCAGAAACCCUUCUCUCUCUGCCCCUGAGAAAGGGCAACUCAAAAUAUCUGGCCGGUGGGCAACACCAGCCCGUUGAGUGAGGUUCCCACAUUGCCCCUGUGAUAAACUUACCAGGGUGCCCUCCAAAGGACAAAGCAGGCCCUGAGACUGAAGACUUCACUUCUGGCACCUGACUAAAUAGAAGAGAACUUUGCUUUUCUGCAAGGAAUGUAGAGAAACUCAGUCUAUUCCUGAACUGUUGAAUAAUUUCUCACUUGCCCGUUAGUGCUCAGCUCACCUUCAUUCCCAGUCUUCUCUACUGGGCUUUGCCAAGCUGCUCCUUAUUACCUGCAGCGUGGGUCUCUCAGAGGCAAUGAGACCAUUAUUAGUACCCCUUCCCUGUCACCUGAAAGAGAAGUGUUAAUAUGCAUCCCCGGAAGCCUGACGCACAGCAGCCACGGAACCGGUGCUGGAGUGCCCUGAGAACCACCACCUCCCUCUGAUCUCAUUGUCACCUAUUUCUGAAGUGCAGAGCUGGGACUUGAGAAGUGGCGCUCUUGAUAAUAGCAGGAGGCGUCUUGCAGAUCUGGGUUAGCUUCCUGAUUGUACUCUGGGUAAAUAAUUAGCGCUUCUCUCCAGCGGCCUGUGCUCCAAAUCUCCACUCACCAGGGACAACAAGCAGGGGGACGUUCGAGUCCUGCCAAGGAUGUCCCUGGGGAUGAGUAGCAUUCCCUGUUCUCUCACCUGCUGUGUUUGCCACUGGGCCCCUCGCCCGGCACCAUGACAGCGCUGAUGGGAUAGCUCACGUCAGCAGCGCCCACCGAUCGCACGUGCAGGCUGCUGCUCUGUAAAGAGGUUGUCCGGCCCAGGCACUCGCCUGCUCCCCAGCAACGUACAAGAUCCACUUCUGCAGCCACUAGCACUUGCGCUGUCUUUGCACCUCUCUCCCUUCCCUUUGGAUGUGCUAAAUUGAGAUACAAAUGAAGCUGAAAAGAACCCAAAUUCUUUGACGGGGAAUACACUUCGAAGGAGAAGGAAAGAAAAUCUCUCGGGGUGACUAUAUUUACUCCACCGCAG